AUGCAGGGAAAAAUGACGUUAGGGAUGGAUAAAUUAUUCUAAAAGAAAUGGAUUCUGGAUGAUUUCUCCUUCAAAUCAAAAAUGUUUGU
rnacentral:pre_miRNA from 1 species